rnacentral:rRNA from 1 species
CCGGCGCACGGGUGAGUAACGCGUAUGUAAUCUACCUGUAACAGAGGGAUAACCCGGAGAAAUCCGGACUAAUACCUCAUAGCACAUAUUAUUCGCAUGAAUUUUAUGCUAAAGAGACUCGGUUACAGAUGAACAUGCGUUCCAUUAGCUAGUUGGCGGGGUUACGGCCCACCAAGGCAACGAUGGAUAGGGGUUCUGAGAGGAAGGUCCCCCACACUGGUACUGAGACACGGACCAG